UUCAAUUCAUUUGUUCUUUCAUUUUACCUAGAAAGAAGGUAAGACACUUGGGAGAACAUUUGAGGGAAAAUAAUCACUUUCCACUUACAAGAUAUUGACUAUGGAAUCAUGAAAACACGAGGGCAAAGCCAUCGAUGCCGAGGCAGCAAAAGUUAAGGGAUUUGGCCAAGCUCACACAGCCAAUGACUGACAGAGUCAGAAUUAAACCUAUAAAAGAAUUUGGGAAUAUGAUGGCAUAAAAGGAUGUAGUUUCCAAAGGAUUCAGUGCUACGUCUUGUAGAUUCUAUGACCUGGUUGAAAAUGACGUAUAUGUAUAUGUGCAU